rnacentral:rRNA from 1 species
ACGGGAGGCAGCAGUGGGGGAUAUUGCACAAUGGGGGAAACCCUGAUGCAGCGACGCCGCGUGAGUGAUGAAGUAUUUCGGUAUGUAAAGCUCUAUCAGCAGGGAAGAAAAUGACGGUACCUGACUAAGAAGCGCCGGCUAAAUACGUGCCAGCAGCCGCGGUAAUACGUAUGGUGCAAGCGUUAUCCGGAUUUACUGGGUGUAAAGGGAGCGCAGACGGCAAGGCAAGUCUGAAGUGAAAGCUCGGGGCUCAACCCCGGAACUGCUUUGGAAACUGUUUAGCUAGAGUGCAGGAGAGGUAAGUGGAAUUCCUAGUGUAGCAGUGAAAUGCUUAGAUAUUAGGAGGAACACCAGUGGCGAAGGCGGCUUACUGGACUGUAACUGACGUUGAGGCUCGAAAGCGUGGGGAGCAAACAGGAUUAGAUACCCUGGUA